GACGAACGCUGGCGGCGUGCUUAACACAUGCAAGUCGAACGCUGAAGCUCAGCUUUUGUUGGGUGGUCGAGUGGCGAACGGGUGAGUAACACGUGAGUAACCUGCCCCCUACUUUGGGAUAACGCCCGGAAACGGGUGCUAAUACUGGAUAUUCACUGGUCUUCGCUUGGGGGUGUGUGGAAAGUGCUUUUCUGGUGGGGGAUGGGCUCGCGGCCUAUCAGCUUGUUGGUGGGGUGAUUGCCUAACACGGCUAUGACGGGUAGCCGGCCUGAGAGGGUGACCGGUCACAUUGGGAGUGAGAUAGGGCCAAGACUACUGCGGGAGGCAGUAGUGGGGGCACUUGCGAGAAGUGUGCCAGCCUGAUGCAGAGCCUCCGCGUGAGAGAUGGAGGCCUUGGGGUUGUGCACCUCGUUGGCUCAUGGUCAAGCCGCAACAAUGGUUGUGGUGAGGGUAAUGGGUAAAGAAGCGCCGGCUAACUACGUG
rnacentral:rRNA from 1 species